rnacentral:rRNA from 1 species
CCUACGGGAGACAGCAGUGGGGAAUAUUGGGCAAUGGAGGAAACUCUGACCCAGCAACGCCGCGUGAAGGAUGAAGGUUUUCGGAUUGUAAACUUCUGUCGCGAGGGAUGAAGAAUGACGGUACCGCGUAAGAAAGCCCCGGCAAACUACGUGCCAGCAGCCGCGGUACUACGUAGGGGGCGAGCGUUGUCCGGAAUGACUGGGCGUAAGGGGAGUGUAGGCGGUAUAUUAAGUUAUGUGUGAAAGCCCGCGGCUCAACCGCGGAAUUGCACAUAAAACUGGUAAGAUGGAGUGCAGGAGAGGUAAGUGGAAUUCCCGGUGUAGCGGUGGAAUGCGUAGAUAUCGGGAGGAACACCAGAGGCGAAGGCGACUUACUGGACUGUAACUGACGCUGAGGCUCGAAAGCGUGGGGAGCAAACAGGAUUAGAUACCCGAGUAGUC